rnacentral:rRNA from 1 species
UACGGGAGGCAGCAGUGAGGAAUAUUGGUCAAUGGACGAGAGUCUGAACCAGCCAAGUAGCGUGAAGGAUGAAGGUUCUAUGGAUUGUAAACUUCUUUUAUACGGGAAUAAACGGAUCCACGCGUGGAUUUUUGCAUGUACCGUAUGAAUAAGGAUCGGCUAACUCCGUGCCAGCAGCCGCGGUAAUACGGAGGAUCCGAGCGUUAUCCGGAUUUAUUGGGUUUAAAGGGAGCGUAGAUGGGUUGUUAAGUCAGUUGUGAAAGUUUGCGGCUCAACCGUAAAAUUGCAAUUGAUACUGGCAGUCUUGAGUACAGUUGAGGUAGGCGGAAUUCGUGGUGUAGCGGUGAAAUGCUUAGAUAUCACGAAGAACUCCGAUUGCGAAGGCAGCUUACUAACCUGUAACUGACAUUGAUGCUCGAAAGUGUGGGUAUCAAACAGGAUUAGAUACCCUGGUAGUCCACACGGUAAACGAUGAAUACUCGCUGUAGGCGAUAUACAGUCUGCGGCCAAGCGAAAGCAUUAAGUAUUCCACCUGGGGAGUACGCC